rnacentral:rRNA from 1 species
GACGAACGCUGGCGGCGUGCUUAACACAUGCAAGUCGAACGAAGUGGCGAACGGGUGAGUAACGCGUAAUCAACCUGCCCUUCAGAGGGGGCCAACAGUUGGAAACGACUGCUAAUACCGCAUACUGAAGGAGGGGCUUGCGUCUGAUUAGCUAGUUGGAGGGGUAACGGCCCACCAAGGCGAGGAUCAGUAGCGCGGCUGAGAGGAGGAACGGCAACAUUGGGACUGAGACACGGCCCAGACUCCUACGGGAGGCAGCAGUGGGGAAACGUCCGCAAUGGACGAAAGUCUGACGGAGCAACGCCGCGUGAGUGAGGACGGCCUUCGGGUUGUAAAGCUCUGUUAAUCGGGACGCGGUACCGGAAUAGAAAGCCACGGCUAACUACGUGCCAGCCGCCGCGGUAAUUC